CUUCGUCGAGCGCAUCUUCACGCAAUCAGAGAUCACUCACUUCCUUCAGUGGCACACGAGUUGCUCCUUCAAUUUUCUCCAUCUUCAAACUUCGAUUGCUUCGAUUAGCCUUCGCACGAUCGAUUCAAGCAUUGUUCUCUCCAGUGGGUUGCCGCCUCCAAUCGAUCCUGGUGGCCAUUCCUUCAUCAUCGCCAAAUUCAACAUACAAAACCCUGGAUAUACAAAGGUAAAAUCAAAUCUGAAUGUGUCCCCUUCCCUGUAAUUGAAUUUCUCGUUUUGAUGCGUCUUUAAUUGAAGCUCUUCAAUUUUCAUUUGUUUUUUGUUGAAGUAUUCUAUUGGUUUUGAAAUUUCAGUAUGAUAUGUUGGUUCCUUGUUUUGGGAAUUCUAAUUGUUGCUAUACUGUUUUUGGGUUUUGAAUCUUUUGGUGGAAGAUCUUUGGAUUGCUCAGUUUUAAUCCUCGAGAGCUUGUUUUUUAGUGAGAUUCUUCUCUUGUAAUGCUUAAUGAGAAGUUGUAUUUUUUUUUUUCUUUCAUUUGAACCGUCUCUGUGUUGAAGCCCUUUAUCGUAAGCUUGUUUAGGACUGAAAUUUGAAGAUAUGCAUGGCCACUAUUGAAUGAAUCGUAACUAAAAGUGUGUUCUUCUUUUUA